GAGUCCUGAGCUCAGGAUGUCAGGUGAGCUUAUCUAAUCUUAUGUAAUGAUUGGGCUGCCAGGUCCUGCCCAGAUGCUGGCCCUGCCUGGGUGGUGUCAGUUUAUGGCUUUUCCUGGAACCCAGUGCUGCCUGCCAUGCAGCUGUGUGGUUUGCACCCCAUUAUGUGUGGCCAGGCUGCCCGGAGCCCCAGAGUUUACAGCUUCAGAGUAUGAGUUCACCCCAUCAAGGCAAGGAGCAGAGCAGCAAGGAGGCCAGCAUGGUCUGAGAGCUUCCAUCCUGAUUCACAAGCACAAGAUGAACUCAACAGUUUAAGCAAGCGGAACUCCUUGCCUAAGGUCACCCAGGAAGUGUCUGGAGAGAGCAGGCAAGUCCUCCCUCUGAGCCUGCAGAGCCUGUGUUCUGUUUACUGUCUGUGGGGGUUCUCUAUUCAGGCUCCCAACAGGGCUGGGCUGCAGAGGAAUAGGAAAGGCCCCAUCUGGUCCAACCUUUGUCUACUGCACCCCAUGGAGCACCCUGGCUCUGUACUGCUCAGUUAAACCAGUGUUUUGGAUGGAUGUUUCCUGGUGCUUCCAGAUUGCCUUUCUACAGACAGGAGUAAGGCCAUCCUCAACCCCCAGUGGCCGAGAAGAUGGGGACUUGCAGACUAGUGUUUUGAAGGCUGCUGGGCACUUCACAUUCAGCGUGAUCUAGACUUCAGAAGCCUGCGGAGACAAUGCAUUUGAGUGCAGAGCCGAGAGACGCCAUUAAUAUUUCAGAACAUGUUUGCGGAUGGGUUCUAAUAAUACACAAGUCCAUAUCUGAACAAAAAAGAGAGGGAAGUAAAACCCCCAACCAAGCUGCUCCUGUGGGAGAUGGGAAGAAACAAACUUAAAAGAGUGGAUUGCUCCUUGGAAGCCCAUCAUUGAACUCCCCAGGAACAGAUAACUUUCAAGGCUCUGAUCAAGCCCUUCUAUUAUGCUUCUAUUUAAGCAUUGCAAGGGCCGUGCAGCCACUAGGCAAUUCCAAGACUUAAAUGUAGUUGCAAAUCAAACCAUGUACCUGCUAGAGGACUGUGAGGAUGUCUUUGUGACUUGUUCCUAAAAUAGCACUGGACAGGGAUGUUUGGAAGGAAACAGAUUUUCAGUAAAAUAUUUCCUAAUGACUUACAAAUAACUUUUCUGUUCUGCCUGUGAUGGGUUGGCUACCAGGAUUUCAAGCUGCGUCUCUUUCUAGACAAAGAGACAAAGGGAGGACCUUUGUCUGGGGAGAUGGUUUAAAUGGUUCAGAUGGUCCUUUGUAAGCACAAGGGUUUGAGUUUGAUCCCUAGAAUUCACGUUCAGUCUAAGGUGUGGUAAGGGGCGUUUGCAAUCCCAGUACCAGGGAGGCAGAGACCCCCUGGGGUUUACUAGCCCGAUGUCCUAGCUUAGCCUAGUGAACAAGAAUCAGGCCUAUUACAGGUCUUGUCUGAAGGAAAAAAACAACAACUGGACAGCACCUGAAGAGGGGUCCUGAAGGUUGACCUCUGACCUCCACAUGCAUGCACCUGCACCCGUGUGCAUACAUGUCCACCUCCCCUCUCUGCGUGCACAAACAGGACUUGUGAGGACGAGCCGGGGUGGGACCGGGGAGACUGAAGGGGAACAGCUGAGGCUCCAGUCCUUAAGACACAGAUUUCAUUUCACCCUAUUCCCCCUUAUUAGGAGGAAACUGUUCCCCACACUCUGCAAAUGGGAAGCCUGAAUCAUUUCUCCAGGUCACCAGGCAGAGGCAGAGCUCUGUCUCGAACCCUUCUCUCUACCUGGGUGCUGUUGACCUGUAUCCCAGUUUCUUAGCUGUGGCUCAGCGGCCACAACACCAAAGAGACAGAAGGUACCGCCGGCUCCUCAGGAAGAACUUACCAUCCCCCGUAGAACGAUGGCAUUCCGAGACACAGGGGCCCAGAGAACUGGAGAGAGGCUUUUUAUUGUAUUUCAUUUCACAAACACAGUGAAAACAAAUCCUGCUAAUAGGAUUGCGGACUCUGCAGGCCCGGGCAAGUAAUUCUAAGGAAAGAGGAAGCGUCUUGGCACACCUGGGGAUUGAUUGCCAGUCUGAGACAAUAACAGGCACCCAGAAAUUAAUCAGGAGAGCUGCCUGCCACUAAAGAGAGGGGUGGAGGCGGGGUAUGAGACUUCUGGUUUGGAGACUAAUUCUCUUGCUGUCCCAUGGCUCCCAAGAAGGAGGAAAUUUCUAGGCUGGUGCUCUCCAUGAUUCUCAUCCUCACCAGACCUUCCCCAAGGACAGCAAAGGAGGGGCUUCACGAUACACUGUGGCCCCCUGACUUUCCCUGUGUGACUCCCCGAGGAUGCACUGUGUCUCCUGGACAGAAAGAGAUCUCUCUUUCUAAUCUUGGCCUGGUCGGCCACCAGCAGCUCAAUAGGACCAGCUUUAAUAUUGCUAUCUGGAUGUUCUGGUCAGUUUGUCACCCUGGGCUUUGAGUCUUUCACUUCCGCCACAGCCUAUUGUGGUAGGGAAACUGGGAAUGAGCAAGCUGGGGACCCAUGGGGCUUGCUAGAUGCUCUGAGGAAAGAGGUGGUUUAGGCCGCCUGUGUGGCCCACCAGCACUGGAUCUUUUGGGUCCCCGCAUUUCUAGCAAAGGGAGCUAUUACAGGAAGCCCACCAGAGAGACCACUCAGGUGCAGCUGAUACCCACCUGAAAGGCUUUAUUCUACCUGGCUGGGACUAUACUCAGGUAUUUGGGGCCAAGUGUAUGUAGUGUUUGGGGUCAGGGGUUUUUAAAGACAAAAGCCCCAUCUUGGUAUCUCACUCGGCAGCUGCAGAGGGAGGUUUUACACAAACAAGCUGUUUAGCAGAAGUUACGUUAACUGUGGCAUCUUGACCUCGAGUUCCUAGAACAGAGUUGGGUAAUUUUUCAUGUAAUUCUCCAUCAAGGAGAGUGGAUUCUAGUUAAACCAAAAUGGCCUCAUCAAGACUACAAGAUGGAGGAAUCUCUUCACCAUCUUGCCCUGUCCCAGAUCCACGGAUACAAAAUCCUUGGGAGACAUCCAGAUCACCAUGAGCUGACCUUUGACUUUCCAACCUAAGUUAAGAGUAGGAGUGGAGUUCCAGGGUGUAGGAAGGACAAAAAGCAGUUCCUGGGAUCACUUGCCUGUGGAACACGGUUGAUGCUGGCCCAGAGUCAGAAGCAGAAGCCAUUGUAUGUGUUUCUGUCUUCCCUCUGUCGUUUUUUUCCCCUUCUCCUUUGGAGGCUUCCAUUGAGUUGUGAAGCUGUAUUUACCAGGGGUGGGGAGAUGGCUUCUGUGUGAGCAUCAGGAUCUGAGUGUGAAUCCCUAGCACUGAUGCAAAAGCUCGGUGUGGUCUGUCACUCUAGUGCUGAGGAAUCAGACAAGCCUCGCCAGAGCUCAGUGGCCAUCUAGGGGUGGCCAAUGUGCGAGCUCUGGGUUCAGUGAGUCUUCCUCCAAAACAAAUAACAUGAACAAUAGCAGAAAACAUCAGGUAUCAACCUCUGUCUACCCACACAUGUGCACACAUGUGGAAGGCAUCCAUAUAUAUACAUGCACAUGUAUGCGCUAUAACAUACAGACAUACACAGACACACAGACAUAUACAGACACACCGACACACAAACACACAGACAUACACAGACACACAUGCCCACACGCACAGAUCCAUUUCCCAGAUUCUCUUAACGGUUGGAUGGCAGGGAAACUGGACAGUAGGGAGGCUUGGGAGGGGUUGACAUGCAUCGAGGCAGAUGAUAGCAGCCCACUUCCAGCUGUACAUGUUUUAUCUUAUCUCACCAUGUAAUUGGAGUUUUCAUGAGGAAACCACGUCAAGGCAGACAGAGUCUCUCUUUUAUGCGACACCACAUGCCAACUCUUGCAUGCAGCUACUUUCUUUUCAAACACUCCACAACAGCAGAACUCCCUGCCACAGCCACGGCCAGUUUCUGUUUCCAUUAUAAAUUUGAUUUUGCAGGACUGUGUCUGACCUGUCAUCUUUAUUAAAGCUUCAACUGUGUGCAUGUACAUGUUAAAGAAACCAAAAAUCUAGGCUUUGGGAGGAUGGUUUAAUAAUAGGGAUUUAAGCAAAAAGAAUGAGUUAGAUACUUUCUUCAUAACUGUGACAAAAUACCAGAUAAAACAGCUUAAAGAGAGGAAGGCUUGGCCUUAGCUUACAGGUUCACAGGCUUUGUCAGGGAAGCUACGGCAAAGGUUGAUAUGGGGAGCAUGCGGCUGGGGUUCCUCACAUCUUGGUGGCAGGCAAGGGGCAGAGAAUGACAACCAGGACCAGAAAGAGGUGUAACCCUCAAUGCUCUGCCAACUAGUGAGCUACUACUGCCAGCAUGACCCAUGCCCCAAACAGUGCUACCAUCUGAGGACGGAGUGUUCAAACACGCGGAGUUUGUGCAAUGCAUUUCAAACACCCAACUGGCAUCCCGUGUCUCUUGUCAACUUUGGUCAAUUAGUAGCAGAAGACUAGAAUGUUGAGUUGAGAAGGAUUCUGAGAGUGAGUAUAGCAUUGGAGGGGAAGAGCUGGGAUGGAUUAGUGAUGUCUAUCACAGCCCUAAGCAGUUGAUUAGUGAUGUCUACCGCAGCCCUCUGUGUGGAAGGGGAGAGUGGCAAAAGAACCAUUCCUGUAUAAAUUAGAGUAAGUUUCCUCCUAACACAGACCCCAUCUCUUCAUGGUAUUUGAUAGUUGUGAAAGCAUUUUAAUGAGAUUAUAUUUUUCAUUUAACUAUUCUGCCAACUGGGUAAAAACAGUAGGACUAAUACAUUUUCCUAUUAAUGAAUCUGUUUUAUGUUUACUGAACAGUUCCUAUACCAGGCUGUGGGAAACUCCCUAAGGAUAUAACUAUAAGUUUCUUUCUUUUCUGUUUUCACAUGCUGCUCCUUAUGUGAGAAGAGUGGGCUGGUUCCUAUCUCCUUCAACAUGGUCCUUCUUAGUGAGUUGCUUGACCCACAGGAUGCAACUGACUCAAUGCCCAGGACCUUCCAGAAGGUCCCAAGCAGGCUCUCAGUUUCUGCCUGUUUCCCCUUGAAACCUUUGCAUUCUGAGCUCUGAUCUGCCACCCAGGAAACAGAUACUCAGGAGAGAUCAUCUGGAGGAGACUUGAGGCUAGAGGAAGGGCAAAGCUGAUUCCAGCCCCGUAGUUACCCCACUGAGGGGUCAGCUAUGUCAGGAACCAUCCUGGAUCUUCUGUCUCAGCUUCUUCUCCAGCUGAACACCACCAAGUCACUGACAGUGUAAAGCAUUCUAACUCCCCAUGUAAUCACCAAGGGGGAAAGCCUGAUGUUGGAAAUGACUAAGUUUUAGGGGGUGUCUGUCAUGGUGCAAUGUUAUGUUGUGUAACCAGAACCCUGACAUGGAUUGUUGUAGGACUAAGUAAGACCCACUAUUGACCCACACAGGGUAUAGUCUUUUGGGAGAGAUAGACACGUGAACCAAUCAGCAAAAAUGUGGUGGAACCAAACACUCCAGAUUUAAUGGUGAACCGAAGGGCAGGAGAUGUCUCUACCAUCAGGGUAGGGAAACAGACUAGCAGGGGCUAGUCUCUUUGUCCUUUGACCUCAAUGAUUUAGGACCCAUUGCAUGGAACACAAGUUUUUUUUGUU